AAGAGAAUGAUUAAACAAUUAAAAGCUUUCUUUAAUUAAAUAAUUGAAUUUAAUUUUUUAGUGCAAAAGCAAAAAUAAAAAUUAGGGACAAGAAGACCCUAUGAAUUUUUUAUUAAAUUUUAUAAAACUUUAUAUAAAAUUUAAUUUAAUUGGGGUGAUGGAAAAAGAAUAAAUAUCUUUUUUUUUAAAAAAAAUUGGUUCCGUUUUUAGCGAUUAAAUGAAAAAAAUACUCUAGGGAUAACAGCGUAAUAAUUUUGGAUAGUUCAUAUAGAUAAAAUAGUUUGCGACCUCGAUGUUGGAUUAGGAUUCUUUUUUGGUGAAGAAGUUAAAAAAAGAAGUUUGUUCAACUUAUAAUUUCCU
rnacentral:rRNA from 1 species